ensembl:lncRNA
CCUGUGGGUACAGCACAGACCAGAGAGGAUCCUUGGGUUUGAAACAGGCUCUUUUAUGCUCAAGGUCUCAGAGAGCCUUUCUGGGAAAUGAUGAUUAGCUGUCCAGCUGGCAGCAACCAGUUUCGGCGUUACAGGCCCUUGGCACUCUGUCAGAAUCGGCUUGGACCUCUGCAUCGGAGAGGGGACCAGCCCACUCGCCCUCCUUUCCACGGUCUUUCCCAAGAGGUGACAGGAGGGGAAUUAAUGAGGAACAGGGUGAACUUUAUUGAAGGAGUUUAUUCUGUGUCUUGUGGAUCUAGCCAUUUAGGGACAAAGCACAACUUUUCUGGACUUCCAAAGAAAUCCGGGGUGAAUUUAGCGCUUCUGUUUGGUGAAAAACAAAACCUGAAAUGAAUGCUGUUAGACACAUUUGUUCAUAGUUUGCCAGUGGGCACAGUCCAUUUUGUAUACUAUUGUCAUUGUUUGCAGUUUCACCAUCAGUUGUAGUCAGUGAUAGGGAGGAUUAGUUUUGCCAUCAGCAAGCCUGGAUUCAAAACUUGGUUCUGUUUCAUAAGCUGGAUGCCCUUGGGACCUCCUGGGGAUUCUGGCCUCUUCUUUGCUGAACUCCAAAGACUUCACUUCAACGUUUCAGCUCAAUUGGUCCCAAAUAUUCCUCUGAAGGACUCUUCUCAUCCACAGGCAAUUGGAGCUCUGUAAUGACAGGCAAAUAAGGGUCUUAUAUUCCCAGCUCAGAUGCGUACCUGUGGGUACCUCCCUGAGAAUUUUGACUCAAGUUGGAUUCCUUCCUUGGAGAAAAUUAAUUCAGAGGUAGAAAUGGAAGCAUGAUUUUCCUGAGCUGCCAGCACACCCAGAGCCAAUCCUAUCCCUGAAACAGAUAUGACUAAUAUAACAAAUAAUAAACAGAACUUCUCCCAUCUGUCUGCUGACCACCUUCGGCAUUACUGGAAAAUGUGCUGCCCAUUUAAUUGCAAAACAAAACUUUAUUUCUCUAUUGUAAUCACCACUCUUUGGGUAUAGAUUAUUUGGAAAAUAUAGAAAAAUAGAAAGAAGUGGGGGAAAUUUUUACCUAGACAAAUUUGACACCUAGAGAGAAAUACUGUUAACAUUUUGGUACAUUGAUUUCAGUGUUUUUCCUCUAAUAAAGUAGACAUUGCAUAUCU